GGGGCGCGGGCGGAAGGGGGCGCAGACGCCGCGUUGGGGGCCGUGGGGCCUCCGGAGGAAACACCUUUGACAAAUUUCCAAGAACUUUCCAGGAAAAGGAGGCGGGGCCCCGAGCGCCGACCUAUCGUGGCGCAGGGGGCGGAGUCGAGUGACGGAGGCUGACGCGCUUUGCGGGCUUGAACUUGACCCGGAGACGAGCUGGGAAAGACCCGAUUUGGAGGAGGCCGGGGAGGGGCCGCGCCUACCCGCCCGAGGCGCCUUCCUUCGUGCGCUUCACUUCGCUGGGGACAGGCGCCUUGUUUCUUUGUAGAUGGCAGCGCGUGGGCGGGGUCCCAGGCCUCCUAGGCCGUCCGCCUGGUGUGCAAGCGCCUCUUGGACCCCGGACUCUGUGUGUGGGGUGGUUUGGGGAGUCUGCUGGACUCACCAAGGAGCCUUUUGAAAGACCAUAGGGCUGUGCACACCUCCUCCAAGCCCUUCGGCCAGAAGGAGGAUGAGGAGACAGGCACAGAGGGUUACCACGCACCCUGGACCUCACAGCUAGCAGGUGGUGCCCAGGGUCCUGCCCUCUCCCCACUUCCUCUCCUGGUGCCGGAAAGCGCCCCCUAC